UACGAAGGGGGCUAGCGUUGUUCGGAAUUACUGGGCGUAAAGCGCACGUAGGCGGAUACUUAAGUCAGGGGUGAAAUCCCGGGACUCAACCCCGGAACUGCCUUUGAUACUGGGUAUCUCGAGUCCGGAAGAGGUGAGUGGAAUUCCGAGUGUAGAGGUGAAAUUCGUAGAUAUUCGGAGGAACACCAGUGGCGAAGGCGGCUCACUGGCCCGAUACUGACGCUGAGGCACGAAAGCGUGGGGAGCAAACAGG
rnacentral:rRNA from 1 species